CAAACAAAAAAAAAUGUGCAGGCCCCAU
rnacentral:piRNA from 1 species